GGAGUCUGGACCGUGUCUCAGUUCCAGUGUGGGGGACCUUCCUCUCAGAACCCCUACUGAUCGUCGGCCAGGUGGGCCGUCACCCCGCCUGCUGCCUAAUCAGACGCAUCCCCAUCCCUUAGCGAUGUACUUUGCUUCAUUUCAGAUGCCCUCCACGAAGAACAUAGGGUGUUAAUCCGACUUUCGCCGGGCUAUGCCCUACUAAGGGGAAGGUUGGAUACGCGUUACUCACCCGUGCGCCGGUCGCCAUCAACAAAAGACAAGCUUUCGUUUAUGCUGCCCCUCGACUUGCAUGUGUUAAGCCUGUAGCUAGCGUUCAUC
rnacentral:rRNA from 1 species